rnacentral:rRNA from 1 species
GACGAACGCUGGCGGCGUGCUUAACACAUGCAAGUCGAACGCUGAAGCACCAGCUUGCUGGUGUGGAUGAGUGGCGAACGGGUGAGUAAUACGUGAGUAACCUGCCCUUGACUCUGGGAUAAGCCCGGGAAACUGGGUCUAAUACUGGAUGCUACAUGUCACCGCAUGGUGGUGUGUGGAAAGGGUUUACUGGUCUUGGAUGGGCUCACGGCCUAUCAGCUUGUUGGUGAGGUAAUGGCUCACCAAGGCGACGACGGGUAGCCGGCCUGAGAGGGUGACCGGCCACACUGGGACUGAGACACGGCCCAGACUCCUACGGGAGGCAGCAGUGGGGAAUAUUGCACAAUGGGCGAAAGCCUGAUGCAGCGACGCCGCGUGAGGGAUGACGGCCUUCGGGUUGUAAACCUCUUUCAGCAGGGAAGAAGCCACAAGUGACGGU